AUAGUAUUACCUCCAUCCCGAAAAGUUUGUCUUAGAUUUUUUGUCUAGGUACGAAUGUAUCUAGACACGUUUUAGUGUUAGAUGCAUCCAUAUUUAGACAAGCCUUUUGGGAUGGAGGGAGUAAAAC
rnacentral:pre_miRNA from 1 species